ensembl:lncRNA
CGCCAAGCAGCCCCGCACUUCCCGGUGGUCACCCCGGCUCCGGGCCGAGCCGAGUCCCCAGGACACCAGCAGAAGCGCACACAAACACCGACCCGGACGUGGGGUCACCAGAACGAACCUGGGAUACCCACGACGCCCAGGCUAGGGCAGGUGCCAGGCCUCCCUACUCGCAGACACACCCGGUAGACGCUGCUCCCAGUCCGCUGCCGCCGCCUCGUCUCGCCCUCACGCCAGUCGUCUUCUCCCGCGGGGGGGUCCGGGCCGGCGCAGCUUCCCCGCCCGACCCCCCUCGGGUUCGCGCCGCGCGGAGCCCAGAUCCGGGUCAAGAGCUAUCAUAAUGGAGAAGGCCAAGCAGAGGAAACAUAUCCCUCCUAGCAGCCAAGGUACCACCACUCCCAGUGCAGAUGAAGGGGC